CAAUGGACGCAAGUCUGAUGGAGCAACGCCGCGUGAGUGAAGAAGGGUUUCGGCUCGUAAAGCUCUGUUGGUAGUGAAGAAAGAUAGAGGUAGUAACUGGCCUUUAUUUGACGGUAAUUACCUAGAAAGUCACGGCUAACUACGUGCCAGCAGCCGCGGUAAUACGUAGGUGGCAAGCGUUGUCCGGAUUUAUUGGGCGUAAAGCGAGUGCAGGCGGUUCAAUAAGUCUGAUGUGAAAGCCUUCGGCUCAACCGGAGAAUUGCAUCAGAAACUGUUGAACUUGAGUGCAGAAGAGGAGAGUGGAACUCCAUGUGUAGCGGUGGAAUGCGUAGAUAUAUGGAAGAACACCAGUGGCGAAGGCGGCUCUCUGGUCUGCAACUGACGCUGAGGCUCGAAAGCAUGGGUAGCGAACAGGAUUAGAUACCCUGGUAGUCCAUGCCGUAAACGAUGAGUGCUAAGUGUUGGGAGGUUUCCGCCUCUCAGUGCUGCAGCUAACGCAUUAAGCACUCCGCCUGGGGAGUACGACCGCAAGGUUGAAACUCAAAGGAAUUGACGGGGGCCCGCACAAGCGGUGGAGCAUGUGGUUUAAUUCGAAGCAACGCGAAGAACCUUACCAGGUCUUGACAUCCAGUGCAAACCUAAGAGAUUAGGUGUUCCCUUCGGGGACGCUGAGACAGGUGGUGCAUGGCUGUCGUCAGCUCGUGUCGUGAGAUGUUGGGUUAAGUCCCGCAACGAGCGCAACCCUUGUCAUUAGUUGCCAUCAUUAAGUUGGGCACUCUAAUGAGACUGCCGGUGACAAACCGGAGGAAGGUGGGGAUGACGUCAAGUCAUCAUGCCCCUUAUGACCUGGGCUACACACGUGCUACAAUGGACGGUACAACGAGAAGCGAACCUGCGAAGGCAAGCGGAUCUCUUAAAGCCGUUCUCAGUUCGGACUGUAGGCUGCAACUCGCCUACACGAAGCUGGAAUCGCUAGUAAUCGCGGAUCAGCACGCCGCGGUGAAUACGUUCCCGGGCCU
rnacentral:rRNA from 1 species